ACUUUAGCUCAGCAAGAUAUAGUACUACUCUUUCUUUACGCCUUCACUGCUAUAGCGUACUGUAUGACAUACUGUAAAAAUAUUGUAGAGGAAGACCAAAAUAAAAUGUCAGCCUGCUUUAUUCUUCUAGGGCGGCUAGUCAUGGGAAAGCCCAGGCGCCAUACCAGUGUCUGGACUUUAGCAGAGCUGACGAAGAGUUUUAUAACAAAACAACAGAGGGAGGUCACUUCUAGGGCUGUGGCGGUCAUUACAUUUUGUCAGCCGGUUCUUGUCAUGGAAAUAACUGCUGGUCUCACGGUAAUUGACCGUUAAUCAUAGUUUUUUUUUCUGAAUGCUUAAACACUAACAGUGAUUCUCGAAGCACUAUCUCUGAAACCAUUAACACUUGUAGCCAAUGCAAUUACCAAGUGUGCCAAACUGAAUGCAUGUUCUCUGCUUUACACUGAGUUUGUAAUUUUAUAACAGACUUUUUGCAAAACUGUAAAACAUAACACACUGCUGUACACUCAGUUUGCAAUUUAAUAACACACUUCUAGCAAAACUGUAAACAUUGGUCUCUACAUUGCUACAUUAUUUUGCCAAUUGCCUUUCCACAUUGACACAUGAAAACACUUUUAGAUAACGAGUUAACUUACAAAUCAGAGCUUAAGCACUAUAAAUAGGCCACAGGUAAACAUUUGGAUUGGACAACGAUGGAGGCCAAUAUUGGACGGAGAGUAAGAGGGGUGAGAACUAGAGGAGGACGAGGAGGAGGAAGAAGAGGACGAGGAGGUGAAGAAGUAAGAGGAGGAGGAGGAGAGGGAAGAGGUGAAGUAAGACAGGGAGAAGAAGAGGAGGGGAAGAGGAAGGGGAGUCAGGUACGCAAUAACUGAUGAAAUAGAGCGACUGUGGUUGACCAUGUUGUCAACCAUGGGAUGAGCAUGAGGGAGGCUGGGCAACAGGUUCAACCAAAUCUGAGCCGCUAUACUGUUGCAGGUAUCAUCCGGAUAUUUUGAAAUGAGAACCGAACUGCAAGAAAACCAGUAUCUGGUGGAAGAGGUCAACUGUUCACCCCAGAGCAGGAGACCCACAUUGUAAAUAUAGCCACUGCAAAUAACUGCAUCAGAAUCAGAGAACUGCAGGACCACAAUGGUAGAUAACACCAUAAUCCUAAACAUCAACAGAGUGAGUCUCUGCACCGUCUCGUCUACUGAAACGCAAUAUAAUUAGGAUGAAGCAGUUGUACAGAGUCCCUUUCGAAAGAAACUCAGACCGUGUAAAACAACUGAGAUAUGAACAUGUGCAGAGAGUCAUGGAGCUAGAAGCAGAUGCUACCGUCUCUUACGACCGUUAAGACCUUCUGGACAUCAGAACUGGGAUUAUUCACCUCAAAUUGAACGAGGAGUUCUUCUUCAAUGAGUCGGACGUGAGGGAAAUACUACAGACACCCGAACAGGCCCAGAUCCCUGUGAUUCGCUGGAGAAGGAAACUGAGAUUUUGAGGCAAAAGAUCAGGGUGCCUUGCGAGGAUCAGGCAACGAGUUGCUAAUCUACCCUUGCCUUCCGUUCUGCUAGCUAACGUUCAAUCGCUGGAAAAUAAAUGUGAGGAACUGAAAGAAUAUACAGUUUUUCUGUUCUUUUUUUUCUAGAACAAAUGUUUUUGUUUUCUUCUACUGCGCUUUUGUUGUUUGAGUGUUAGAACAUUUUGAGAUUUUUUUUGUAUUGAUAGUGUGUUAUGUUGGGAAUACACAUCCAUACUUUACACAUUUGGAUACCUGUGUGUAUGUGUGUUUACUACAUGUAUGACAACAUUUUAUUGCAAACUGCUAUGCUCUGCACACAGAAAAAGUUAAAGCCACAAGUGUUUUUCCUUUAUACUAUCAGUGCAUAGUUGGUGCUUCGUGUGCUUAUUCAAAUGAUGGUUUGUGUGUAGUGUAUUGACGCAAAAACAUUUUUUUUUAAAGAGUUUUGCAAGAAUUGUUUGCUUUUGUAAGAGAUGUAUAAUGUUUUGCUGGUUUGGUGUAAGGUUUUGUGAUUAGUGUGUAGAGUUUUAAAGAUAAUGCCCAAGCAAUCAGAAAAAACUGUAGCAUAAACAUAUUUAGCAUCUCCUGGCUUCCAUGCAUAGCAUAAAAGCCACUGAUGCAGACCUUUGGAACAUCUACAUUUAAAAAAAAAAAAAUCUAAUAAAUCCAUGUAAUAUAGCCGACACCAGCACAAUAAAUCCAUUAUUUAUUUUAGACAGGUCUAACGAAACAUGAUAUGAAAAAUAUAUAUAUUUCAGAAGAACAGAAUAGCAUACUGAGUUGUCCUUAUGUUAGGUCCUGAUCUGGCUAUGCCACAUGGCUGUGUGCUACACUAGUUCUAGUUAAUUAGUUAAUAUAACUAGUUCAUUCAGCACAACAUAUUUUCUUAGAAUUCUGUGAAAUUAUUUUAUACAAAUACAAUUGAACACAGCUGAAUAAAAUAGAAAGGAUAUUUUCUUCAAAAAGAUGAUGGGAGCUGCACAUGCAGCUAUUCCGUGUUGAGCGGUUAAAAAAGAAAUAGGUCCUCCUAUUUACUUCAUUUAGAGUUAUUUAUGCUACUUUAGUUGUGAUACAAAUGUUGGGCUAUAGGUUUUGAUUGUUAAUACAAAAGUUGCAUGAAAGGCA